CUUUAUUGGAGAGUUUGAUCCUGGCUCAGGAUGAACGCUGGCGGCGUGCCUAAUACAUGCAAGUCGAGCGAAUGGAUUAAGAGCU
rnacentral:rRNA from 1 species